rnacentral:rRNA from 1 species
UACGAAGGGGCUAGCGUUGCUCGGAAUCACUGGGCGUAAAGCGCACGUAGGCGGCUUUUAAGUCAGAGGUGAAAUCCUGGAGCUCAACUCCAGAACUGCCUUUGAUACUGGAGAGCUUGAGUCCGGGAGAGGUGAGUGGAACUGCGAGUGUAGAGGUGAAAUUCGUAGAUAUUCGCAAGAACACCAGUGGCGAAGGCGGACUCACUGGCCCGGUACUGACGCUGAGGUGCGAAAGCGUGGGAGCAA